UACGAAGGGGGCUAGCGUUGUUCGGAAUUACUGGGCGUAAAGCGCGUGUAGGCGGGUCUUUAAGUCAGGGGUGAAAUGCCAGGGCUCAACCUUGGAACUGCCUUUGAUACUGGAGACCUUGAGUCCGGGAGAGGUGAGUGGAACUGCGAGUGUAGAGGUGAAAUUCGUAGAAUAUUCGCAAGAACACCAGUGGCGAAGGCGGCUCACUGGACCCGAUACUGCGCUGAGGUGACGAAGCGUGGGGAGCAA
rnacentral:rRNA from 1 species